AGAAUAGGUCUUCGCGCUCCGACCCGAGCAGCCGCUGGCAGUGCGGAGGGGAGGCCGGCCGAGAGAGUCGGAGAGGAGGCGGAGGCCGGGAGAGCCGGAGAGGAGGCGGAGGCCGGAGGAGCCGGGGGGACAUGGAGAGCCGGAGAGGAGGCGGAGGUUCGAGGAGCCGGGGGGAUAACCGCGGGUCGCGGGAGGUGCGACGACAGCCGCGGAGGUGAGAGGCAAGGAGAAGCAACGCGCGUGCCUCCCCUUCUUCGUCUCCACCCAGCUGCAAGACGACCCGGUGGAGUUCAAGGGCGAGAAGCUCCGCGACGAGCUCGUCUCGUCGUCGUGCGCGGAGCCUACCGUCCCCGCCGGCGGUACCCCCUUCCUGUACGACGCCCGCGACCGCCGAUGGCGCGGGGCCUCCACCACCUGUGCGCCGCCGUGAGGGACCCGCGCGAGGACGAGGUAGGGGGCAGGCCACGGCAGCGGCCACUACGUGUACGGCGUCACGCGCGGCCACUUACACGGUCCCCGCGCCUACGCCGCUGGCUGCCAGCUCCGCAAGCGCUCACUUCGCCUACUCCUGCUGAUGCUGCACCUCUACUACAGCGGCGUCCUCUACCACCGCGCGAGCGGCCGCACCCUCGGCGGGUACUGCUGGAAGACCCACGACCUCGGACCUCCCGCGACCUGUGUGCGAGUUCCCCUCCCUGGAGGCGGUCCAUGCGUUACGGCACACCACCUUCUGGCCGGACGAGCUAACUAGGUAACGCAAACGUAAACCAUCGACGGAUGUCGAUAACUUAAACACACAAACUUAAUAAAACAUGUAAUGCGUACUAGUCCACCGAUGUGGAUACUUUAAACACAACAUAAUGAGUGGUAAUGCCGUAAUGAGAAUAAAUACUUGAUAGAUAAACUCGAGGGUCCUCUGUAACUUGAUAAACCAUACCUAAUUCUAUUAACACGAAAAUACCUACAAAGACACAAUUAAAUGGGGUUCUCUAUACUGAAUAGCUAGGAAUCAUACGAAUGUAAGGCUUUCAUACAUCAAAUUUGUAGCUUGCUACAUUUGAACCGUACAAAACUCUAUAACACCACAUCUAAUGAAACGUGACGUGGAUACCUCAACCUAAGAAAUGACCUCGAACAAUUGAUGACGUCGAAGCAAACCAAUUCUGACUAUCAAAACGUCAAGGAGAACCGCUACACUAAGACGUUUCAUAGGUAACAAAUAGCAUAAACUCUGUGCGUAUCCUACACCUUUACCUAGUAACCACGUGAUAAUAAGUCCACAAUAUUUAAAAUGACGUGAACUACCACUACAAGUCAUAAGUCCCAGGCUCAAUUUAUACGAGACGCACGACGAAUCGACUUCCACACACGAGCUUAAAAGUAACACUACAAAUGGACCUAUUAAUUUAAUAAAAUCCUUCAAGUAUCAAAUUAGUAUUUUAAAUCUCAUGGUUCCAUGAUCUGAUACAGUCUCUACGUAUUAGUCCGUCACUGAUUAAAACCAGAUUUGGGUUCAAAUUUAUGACAAGUCUUAUAUCAGCUUGGGAUAGAAAAUACAUACGGUCUCGCAGUCUAGUUACCUCGACACUAAGUCCUAAAGGUUUUCUUUAACUCCCGAAUCGACAACUUUAUUAAGUUUGUUUGUCUUUUAAUACGAAUUACCCCGAGGUACUAGGGGGUGAAGAAAGAUAAUAAUUCCUUGUAAACAAUGGAAAGGGUCGACAUACUUGAUCUCUAACCAGCGCUCGUAUAGACUUUAGAACAGAACUACCUUUUGACCGUUACUACACAACUCCUAGAAGAAGUAUGAUGAUGAUAUGGCCUCAACAGACAGAUAAGGUAUAGUAUACCGGGUUGGUUAUCUCGUAGACUCGUUGCCCUUAGGUGGGACGACACCGCGCUCCACUACAAGAAGAAUCACCGCCGAACUAAGAAGGGUCCUUAAAAAAAAGAUCGGAACCGCGUCACCAUUUCGACGACGGAACACUGGUACUCCAGUACCCAAGUUCAGGACCUUUGUCGGAGAAUGUCUUUACAUCCCUUUCCGACGCAUGAUAUCUGGGUUUCACCAGCCUGGGAAGGGACCUGGGACGCGUUCGCCCUCGAUGUACGUGGUCCAACGGGAAAAAAAAAAUGGCAUGGAGAAGUAUUGUUUUAGACUGACGGAUUCUUAAGGGGUUAAACGAUGUCAAAAAACCACCUUCUAACCUCACUCGAAAAGAAGUCUUUAAUAUGAAACUAGGAUAGGUUAGAAUGACACUAUCAUUCUAUAAGGGGAAAAUAAAUAUUGUACUAAUGAGGACGUCCGACUACGAGCCAAGUCAAACAACAAAACAAAGACCCGUUGUAAAAGGCUUACCACUGUGUCGCUCGAGGUAACUACAACAAAGUAAACUAAAAGAAUUCUAUAAUCAUAAUGUGUGUUCAGACUACCUAAGUUCUCUUACUUCUCAUUUCUUAUGAUAUGAUAUUUAUGCAGUUGAUGUCUUCAUGUCUAUUGGGAGGGUUGAUGUUAUAACGUGGACUGUCGGAGGAUGAGCUGCUCCGGUUCGAUAGACGUCCCCCGGUACGGGGACCUGCAAGGAUUCUCCGGAGGGGUGUGAUGUUACAUCGUGUGACGUCGUCAUAGGAGGAGCUACGGCGGUUCGCUAGACGUCCCCUUUGUGGUACGGCUACCUGCAAGGAUUCCCACUCGAUUUGUUAUUACCUUCUUUUUUCUCAUGUACGAAAUGUAUUACAUGGAUGUCGUUGUUACCCAACCGGGUGGUUUGUAGUAGUCUCCUGACUCUUCCUUUUGCUACUAAAGAAUUAGUCCAAGAUAACCGGCAACAUCGUAAUCGUACUACUUCUAAGACCUUGUCACGUGCUGUACGGGUUUGGGUUCAGAAGGGAAUCGGCCACUUCGUGGACUCAGCGGCAGCUCGUUAUAGGAGACUUAUGAUAAAAGUCCAUACGUUAGUAUACUCGACGUGGUCCCUCGAAGUACGUGCCGCCAUGAUGAAGGGUGUUUUGGAUAAUAUUUAUCACACGAUCGAUGGUCCUGACACGUCUAUGUACCUUCUCGAAACACGUUUUUUAAUCCUCUUUCUAUUUGUAUUCUCUGUAAAGUCGUUCAAAUGAGUACCUCCGUUUUUUAUUAAGAUGAAUAGUAACAUUAUGCUCAACAUUAUUUGCUCUUUUCUGCACACCAUAAUAAAUAAAAGAGGGCAACGUUGCGUGCCCGUAAACCGUACCUAACUGAGGUACCCAAGUGGCAGUGUUAUGCGAAGAAGGG
rnacentral:rRNA from 1 species